rnacentral:rRNA from 1 species
GGGAGGCAGCAGUAGGGAAUCUUCCGCAAUGGACGAAAGUCUGACGGAGCAACGCCGCGUGAGUGAUGAAGGCUUUCGGGUCGUAAAACUCUGUUGUUAGGGAAGAACAAGUGCUAGUUGAAUAAGCUGGCACCUUGACGGUACCUAACCAGAAAGCCACGGCUAACUACGUGCCAGCAGCCGCGGUAAUACGUAGGUGGCAAGCGUUAUCCGGAAUUAUUGGGCGUAAAGCGCGCGCAGGUGGUUUCUUAAGUCUGAUGUGAAAGCCCACGGCUCAACCGUGGAGGGCAUUGGAAACUGGGAGACUUGAGUGCAGAAGAGGAAAGUGGAAUUCCAUGUGUAGCGGUGAAAUGCGUAGAGAUAUGGAGGAACACCAGUGGCGAAGGCGACUUUCUGGUCUGUAACUGACACUGAGGCGCGAAAGCGUGGGGAGCCAACAGGAUUAGAUACCCUGGUAGUCCACGCCGUAAACGAUGAGUGCUAAGUGUUAGAGGGUUCCGCCC